rnacentral:misc_RNA from 1 species
GAUGAAGAACGUAGUGAAAUGCGAUAAGUAAUGCGAAUUGCAGAUCUCCGUGAGUCAUUGAAUUUUUGAACGCACAUUGCGCCCUCGGGUAUUCCCGAGGGCAUGCCUGUCCGAGCGUCAUUAUCCAACCAUCAAGCUCGGCUUGCGGUUGAGCCCCGCACCGUCCCCGGGACGGUGGGCUCGAAACAUGUUGGGCGCCCGUGAGGUUGUCGGUGCAGCGAGCUCUCGAGCACGUGCCGGGCAACCGCUCUGGGCGUCGGCCAGCCCCCCCAUUUUCUCAGGUUGACCUCGGAUCAGGUAGGAAUACCCGCUGAACUUAAGCAUAUCAAUAAGCGGAGGA